rnacentral:rRNA from 1 species
AGAGUUUGAUCAUGGCUCAGAACGAACGUUGGCGGCGUGCUUAACACAUGCAAGUCGAACGAGAAAGUUUUCUUCGGAGAACGAGUAAAGUGGCGCACGGGUGAGUAACGCGUAAGUAAUCUACCCUUGCAUUUGGAAUAACUACGGGAAGCUGUAGCUAAUACCAGAUACGUUCAUAGAGUUACGACUCUAUGAAGAAAGAUGACCUCUUCUUGAAAGUUAUCGUGCAGGGAGGAGCUUGCGUACCAUUAGCUAGUUGGUAGGGUAAAGGCCUACCAAGGCAACGAUGGUUAGCGGGUCUGAGAGGAUGAUCCGCCACACUGGAACUGAAACACGGACCAGACUCCUACGGGAGGCAGCAGUGAGGAAUAUUGCGCAAUGGGGGAAACCCUGACGCAGCGACGCCGCGUGGAUGAUGAAGGCCUUCGGGUCGUAAAAUCCUGUCAGAUGGGAAGAAAUGUAUGAGGGAACAAUACCCCUUGUGCUUGACGGUACCAUCAAAGGAAGCACCGGCUAACUCCGUGCCAGCAGCCGCGGUAAUACGGAGGGUGCAAACGUUGUUCGGAAUUACUGGGCGUAAAGCGCGCGUAGGCGGUUUGUUAAGUCAGAUGUGAAAGUCCACAGCUCAACUGUGGAAGUGCAUUUGAAACUGGCAGACUUGAGUACUGGAGGGGGUGAUGGAAUUCCCGGUGUAGAGGUGAAAUUCGUAGAUAUCGGGAGGAAUACCGGUGGCNAAAGGNNAUCACCUGGNCNGAUACUGACGCUGAGGUGCGAAAGCGUGGGGAGCAAACAGGAUUAGAUACCCUGNA